GUGCUCACUUCAACAGCACAUAUAUUCUAAAAUUGAAAUGAUACAGAGAAGAUUAGCAUGGCCCUGUGCAAGGACGACACACACAUUUGUGGAGCAUUUCACAUUUGU